CCGUCAGAAAAUAACUUGUGCCAUGUUUUUCUAGAGAUUGAUCUCUUGGCAUAUGGGAAAAAUAAAACUGCACAGACUGAGAGAAGCAAAGAAGGCGGAAGGAAAGGAAGGAGGAGAAAAUCCAAAGUAAAUGGAUUUAAAUCCAAAUUUAAAAUUUAAAAUAUAAUUUAAAAGGAAUAAAAUAAAAACAGCAGUCUCACAUUACAUUAGCCACAAGUCCACUCACCUUUUCUGGUGGGCUGCAUUGCAGCCAGGCAGCCAGGACUCUGCAGUGAUCUGGCGGGGGCCGGAGAAUUGACACCCCCUUCCAUGUUGUCCUGGCCGCAUUGCUGGUGUUGGGCGAUGGCCCUCCUCUCUUGCCCUGUCGCCAGAUCUGGUUGGAUCUCCUGUGUUAUUCUGUAGGCUGUGUUCACUCAGAUAACCAAUAAAGUAACCAAUAAAGUUGUGGCCUAUUUGCACCCAUAAACCAAAAUGCUUGUGCCCUUGUGUUUAUUAUCCAUUAGGGAACUGUGGAUUAUGGGGCAUUGGCAUGCAAUCCAUCGGUACCCUGUAGCUUUUAACGAAAUAUUCUUCCUUGAUUCUCUUUUUUUUCAAACCAGCUUCCAUGUGAUUCAGAAAUGGAAACCACAGUUCCGUUGUGGUGUGAACAGUUCAGACAGCUUUUGCCCACAGGUGGAUGAAAACAUCGAUGAAUUGGAUUUCAGCAGAGGUACAGACAGGUGCUGUUAUCCUCGCCUCUGUUCUGGUGUGGAAAAGUGCCUUGGAAAUGGGGGGGGGGGGAAUGUUGAAGCAUUGCAAGCUGCUAAUGUGAACAUACCCUAAGUCAAUCUCAAUUUAAGCCUGUGUUAAUAGGUGAACUUUCAAAAGGAGAGGUGGGUUGUUUUUAGUUAAUGUUGCCUGUGUUAUUCCUCAGUGCAUUUAAUGGAGGUGAAGGGUCAGUUUUGUUAACACAAAAGGCCAGGGAUUUGCUCCCAUUUUCCAAUUUCAUAGUUACAAUGCCGAUUGAUGUAAGGUAAUAAAUCCCCUAGAAUCUUUUGACAUUUGCUACAUUAUACAGUACUUAAUCCUCCUUCAGGCUCCCUUACUAUUUUCCCCAGAAGCUAUUUUCCUGCUAGUGCAGUCCAAGACUUGAACAGUCAGCUCAACCACCCAGGUGUUACAACUCGAUAAUGGAUGGGUGAUGUGCUAUAAUAAAUAAACAAACACUUCAGAAUUCUAUUUCCUUUACAGUUAAGGCCAAGACAUCUAUAUAAAGACCUUUGGAUCCAGCAGAUUGGUUCACAAAUGUAAGUAUCACAAUUACCCAAUAACUUGUGCAAUAGGCAGAAGGUUGUAAUGUGGUGCAAAUAUUUCAAAACACAUCCUAGCUACUGCCGGGGGGGGGGGUCUGAAAGCAAUACCCUUUCCCAUGAUCUUUCAUCUAUCAAGGUAUGGAAUCUGCCCAUAACAAGAAUAGCAAAUGGCCCAGCACAGAGUACACCAGGACCCAUGUGAGACAGAAAAUUGAAAUGGAAUCCAAUACAACCUCAGAUUGGGUGAUGGAAGAUUUGCAGUGGCAGCCAGGAAGGUGAUUCUUCAAAUGAGUCAAGUUACACAUGCAUGUGAAACCUUUCAUGCAUUGAACAAUCUUGAAAUUAGCAGAGGAUUUUUUUUUCAUCCCUAAGAACAUAAGAACAUACCGCACAAUUGCACUCAUUUCACACACUAGCAAGGUUAUGCUUAAAAUUCUACAAGGCAGGCUUAAGCAGUAUGUGGACUGAGAACUCCCAGAAGUGCAAGCUGGAUUUCGAAGGGGCAGAGGAACCAGAGACCAAAUUGCAAACAUGUGCUGGAUUAUGGAGAAAGCUAGAGAGUUCCAGAAAGACAUCUAAUUCUGCUUCAUUGACUAUGCAAAAGCCUUUGACUGUGUCGACCAGAGCAAACUAUGGCAAGUUCUUAAAGAAAUGGGAGUGCCUGAUCACCUCAUCUGUCUCCUGAGAAAUCUCUAUGUGGGACAAGAAGCUACAGUUAGAACUGGAUAUGGAACAACUGACUGGUUCAAAAUUGGGAAAGGAAUACAGCAAGGCUGUAUAUUGUCUCCCUGCUUAUUUAACUUAUAUGCAGAAUUCAUCAUGCGAAAGGCUGGGCUGGAUGAAUCCCAAGCCGGAAUUAAGAUCGCUGGAAGAAAUAUCAACAACCUCAGAUAUGCAGAUGACACAACCUUGAUGGCAGAAAGUGAGGAGGAAUUAAAGAACCUUUUAAUGAGGGUGAAAGAGGAGAGCGCAAAAUAUGGUCUGAAGCUCAACAUAAAAAAAACGAAGAUCAUGGCCACUGGGCCCAUCACCUCCUGGCAAAUAGAAGGGGAAGAAAUGGAGGCAGUGAGAGAUUUUACUUUCUUGGGCUCACUGCAGAUGGUGACAGCAGUCACGAAAUUAAAAGACGCCUGCUCCUUGGGAGAAAGGCGAUGGCAAACCUAGACAGCAUCUUAAAAAGCAGAGACAUCACCUUGCCAACAAAGGUCCGUAUAGUUAAAGCCAUGGUUUUCCCAGUAGUGAUGUAUGGAAGUGAGAGCUGGACCAUCAAGAAGGCUGAUCGCCGAAGAAUUGAUGCUUUUGAAUUAUGGUGCUGGAGGAGACUCUUGAGAGUCCCAUGGACUGCAAGAAGAUCAAAUGUAUCCAUUCUUAAGGAAAUCAGCCCUGAGUGCUCACUGGAAGGACAGAUCGUGAAGCUGAGGCUCCAAUACUUUGGCCACCUCAUGAGAAGAGAAGACUCCUGGAAAAGACCCUGAUGUUGGGAAAGAUGGAGGGCACAAGGAGAAGGAGACGACAGAGGACGAGAUGGUUGGACAGUGUUCUCGAAGCUACCAACAUGAGUCUGACCAAACUGCGGGAGGCAGUGGAAGACAGGAGUGCCUGGCGUGCUUUGGUCCAUGGGGUCACGAAGAAUCGGACACGACUAAACGACUAAACAAAAAGAACAUAAGAAGAGCCUGCUUGAUCAAGUCAAUGUCCCAUCUAGUCCAGCAUCCUAUUGUCAAAAAACAAAUGACAAUGGGAAGUGGGAAAGCAGGACCUGAGCCCAACAGCACUCUCUUCAUUUGUGAUACCCAGCAACUGGCACCAGUUGCUACCCGGAAAGUGUAUAAGAGGGCAGAACACUAAUAGACAUAACCAGAGAGGCUGAAGCUGAUGGAAAUGAGCUCACACAGAAAAUUCUCAAACUUGAUGGGGCACAGCUCAGACCCUCACGGGUACAUUGCCCUGAACCUGAGUAACCAAAUGUUUUAAUAGGACCUCACUGAUCCAGCACCACAGGUGGAAGCACACCAGGUGGGAGACUCUGGAAAAGAGGCCAAGUGUCCAUCUUCAAGGUAAAGUGAUGUUCAUUUAAGAAUCUUAAUUUAGCCACAAAUCCUGGUAUAGCUUGUCUGGGGUUCUAUCUGCUCUCAACAUUUGUUGGAGGAAGUUGCUCACCCAGGGCUAUAUGUGAUCCUGUAUUUAGCACAUUCCUAUGUUCUGUGACCUGAGUGUUGAUGAAAAUCCAAUACUGAGAGCAACAACAAAAGGGACUUCUAGGAAUUGAGAAGCCUGGUGAUCCCAUUUCCCCUGUACCUUAACAGAUCAGAAAUUCUCAUACAGAGCUAUUGUGAGAAUAAGUAAGAUAAUGAAAGGUUGAUACAGGUUCUGAACACUAUCCAAAUUGCUUGAUUACCUGGUUUAAAAGAACUGAAGUAUAAAUCCUGAGUCCACUGAUGGCAACACUGAUGGCUGAAUUCUGAAUAUCACUGGAGCUUGUUGGCCAAGCUUUGUGGUACUUUGAGUCUAGUGCGAGAAACAUUUGAAUGACAAGUGAACACUGGUCUGAAAUGGUGUAGCACAAUAGCUAAGAAGCUGAGGAGGUCCUUAUUUUUAAUUAAACCUCUCGCCAGGAUUGAAUUUACAAAAUUGGAUAAAGCAAGUUACUCUUGCUUACCCUCAGUUCCACAACUCCUGCAGCAUAGCUAAAAUGAUUGUGACCUACCCUAUGGGAUAGUUGUAAAGAUUGCAACAUAAACAAAUAUACAUGGAUUGCUGUGAACACUAAUCACAAAAUAUAAAUGUUUGAUGGAAUUCGCAUUUGUUUUAUUUUUCUUUACUGUAUUUUUGCCCGCCUUUGAUUUGAACUCUAAUCUCUGCAGUUCCUGUGGUUGAUCAAGCACACAGUCCUGUUUGUUCAAAAAUAGCUUGCUGGUUUGGUUGUUCUUGCAGAUUUUGUGCAGAUUAUUGCCUGUCACGUAAGUACUAAAUCAGCACUUUCCCAUCUUUUAUUGUUUUAACACAGCAGUUUAUGCUGAUUUUAUUAUUUCCCCCCCUCUUGGAUCAAUAUGAAUUCAUUCUUGGUGGAGAAAAUGAGUCAUGUCACAAGGUUUCUGCCAGCUAAUGACGUUGUCAAGCUCUGAACAAUGCCUCUCUUCAUACAUGGAGUGAGCCAUUGAAUAUACUUAAAUAGACUAUUUGAAGUACAGUGGUACCUCGGUUUAUGAACUUAAUCUGUUCUGGAAGUCCGUUCCUCAACCAAAACCGUUCUUAAACUGAGGUGCACUUUCCCUAAUGAGGCCUCCCGCCGCUGGUGCCCUUCCACUGUUCGGCUUCCGUUCUUAGACCGAGGUAAAGUUUGCAAACCAGGAGUUUGCACUUCCAGUUUUGUGGAGUUCGUAAACUGAGUCGUUUGUAAACAGGGCUGUUCUUAAACCGAGGUACCACUGUAUACCCAAGUGUGAACUGUACAGGCCUUAGUCUUAAUCAGAGGGGAGGUUGCAAGCCUUUGCCUGUCCCUCUAAGGAAACAAGGUAUCCCAUUAAAGGAAUCCUUUAAGAGAUGCUCCUGUUUGGACAUCCAGUUGGGGUCUGGGGCCAUAACUCUCCUUUUAGGCAAUAUCUGUGUGGAGUUCUUCUUUGAUGUAUGUCAUAGGUCUCCCUAACCAUUGAAUUUAACCCCUGGGAGAAUCAACCAGCAGAUGGGCUGGUUGAUACAAGUUAUGCCCAAUACCUAAUCCAAAGACACUUAUAUAUGUAAUCAGACACUGGGGCCUAAUUUGCACCAAAAGAAGCUCGUCAUGCGUGGUCAUAUAAUCCCUAUUGUGGGAACGCAAGUCAUGGCACCUGGGCACGCAAGGGAUAUUCCUAUUCUGUGAGCAGAACACUUCCCAUGCUGUGUUGGCUACAACCCUAUGCAUUUAAAUACAUAGUCUGAGAGAAAUUUUCUAAUGCAGAUUAAUGCAGAAAUGGAAUGUAAUCAAAUUAUGUGCAAAAUGUACCAAAAUAACAUGAAAUCAGAAUAGCAUCAUCCAGCCCUGUUUUGCUUUUUGUGGCUCCAAAUUUGCUCCUCUGCCUCUCCUACAUCUUUGGUAUCUCAGGAUAUCAGACUCCUUUUUUUGGAGGGGGGGGAUACUUACAUUUAAAAUAUUUCUUCUAGCAAUAACUGAACAAAUAAAACCCAUUUUAUUGGCUUAUUUUAAUGUUUUGCCUUUAUAAUUUUUCUAGAAUACCCUUUAUAGAAAGAGGCUAUCCAUGCAAAGACUCAAAGGUCAAAUAAGUCUCUGAUGUGUUCUUUUAUUGUACUUUCUGCCUUUAAUCAGGAGGUUAGAGAAUGCAUAAUUUAGCACAUUAUGAGCCAGUUUCUCAGCUGAUCUUCAGUAUUUUCCUUCAGAGGAACCACUGCAUUAUUUCUGAGCAGGUGGUCAAAUCUCUGAAAUCUGCCAUGCUUUGCCUUAGGUCUGCUAUGAUUGUUAGUUCUUAGCUAGAAAGAAAGAAAGAAAGAAAGAAAGAAAGAAAGAAAGAAAGAAGAGUUUUCUUGAGUCUGUUAUUUUACACUUUGUUGUAUUUUGUCUUAUUGAACAGCUGAUCAAAAACACCUGUCUGAAUGACUGACUGACUGACUAGUUAGUUAAUUAAUUGCAUUAGUCAAUUAACUGAUAAAAUAUUUAUAAAAUUGAAAAAGAGCUCUCCCUUGCUAGAUCCGGGCAACUUAUUAUUACUGCUUUGGGGUUAAUCAAAAUUAUGGAAAAUCCUUUUUAUAAAACACUUCUGCAGCAGAUUCUAAUUUGCUUUUCCUGUUUGGGCAACAAGGUACCAAUAACAGAACUGCUAAAUUGCUCCCUGGUGUUAAUGUCUCAAUGGCCUUUUCACCUGCAGAUCUAUCAUGUUAUUCUUUAUAAAAUAAUGUACUACACUGUCCUCUUUCCUUUUUCAGACAUGCUAAAUUGUUUUGUGUCAUUGCAGGCAUAUUUCAUGAUUACAUUAUCAAACUGUUGAUGCCUUUGGAGGAAUCCCAAAGCCAUGAAAAAGCACACAGCGAUGCUCCUUUCCUCUCCUUUUUUUUAACUGGUUAUGUCAAGCGGUUAAUACUGCUGUUAUUCAGAUAGCAUAAAAGCACAUAUUGUGUGAAGCACAUAUUGCAUAUGAUUGAAAAGUGUAACGUUUUUAUCUUGGUUUGCAAACUAUCAGGAGAGAAUAUUAAUAAAUGGGCAGUCACAUAUAGGUCUUUUAGAAAACAACAAGGAUGAAAAAGGCUGAGUCUCUCUCUCUCUCUCUGCUUGAAGCUAAACAAAAAGAAUGGGUCCAGCAUUUCACUAGAGCCUACUUGGAGCCAUGCCAGAUUAAUACUGGAAAACUGAGUUUGCUAUGCAGUAAAUCUUUUAGGGGAAAUUUAUAGGGUCUUAUUUCAUUCUUCUGGGAUUUCAAUUGGCACAUAUCAGCUUGUCAGCAGAAAAGGAGUUUGGGUUACCUGUGUGAUUACCCCACCUUACCCCAGAAAUCACAACUGUAAGAUAGAAAACCAAACAAAAAGCAAAUGCCUAACUUCUUUAUAUCAAAGUUUGGCAUGAAGAAAAGAAAAGAAAAACCUUGGGCAGGGCAAAAAAGCAAGCUGUGGCAAUUUCAGACAGGAAGAUGACCUCAUACCAAGAAAGCUUUUCUGACAGGAAGAGAGAAAAGAGAAUGGAAUUCCAGGUGCUGGGAGAGUAGUUCUUUCAGACCCAACAAACCUCAUAAACAUUCUUUUUUGAGAGCACUAUAAAUAUGAGAAAUAUGGUGUGUCAUCGUCCCCCCCCCCAAAAAACCCCCCCCAACAACUCCAGAGAGCAUUAACGUUAACAAUGAACAAUACCUUAAUGGUCCAAAGCAGAAUCCUACUAGAACAAUAAAAUCCUGUAACACCCUAAUUUAAAUGAAGCCUUCUGAGGAAUGGCUGAGGAAACUGGGUAUGAGUCUGGGAAAGAGGAGGCUGAGAGGAGACAUGAUUGCCAUCUUCACAUGGAAGAGGGAACAAGCUUGUUUUCUCCUGCUCUGAAGGGUAGGGCCCAAACCAAUGGCUUCAAGUUACAAGAAAGGGGAUUCCAACGAAACAUCAGGAAGAAGCUGUUUGGCAGUGGAAUGGACUCCCAUGAGAGGUUCUUCAUUGGGGGUUCUUCAGCAGAGGUUGAAUGGUCAUCUGUCAUGGAUGUCUUCAUUGAGAUUCCUGCACCCCAGGACAUUGGGCCCUUGGAGUCCUUUCCAACUGUAUCAUUCUAUGAAAUUGUGUUAUUCUCAAAGGCCUGAUACUAAGUCGGAGGGGAGAAAGCCAAUAAGACAGGAAAAAAUAUCAAUUCCUCCCCCCCCCCCCCCGAGUCUUGAAUUAUUCCCUAGAACCAAUAGUUUGGCAUUUUACAGGCUACAGCAAUUAGGGCAAUUCUUAUUUGUGAUGAGCAACUUGAUCAUGAAGGAGAAAAGCUCUGCCAGAAGCAUGGGGGGGGGGGGCGUCUAAAUGAUAAAUCUCUGCAGCAGGCCAUCUCUUUAAACUUGAAGAAGGGCAUUUUAGUGACAUGUCAUUGGAGCUUGCAUGAAUGUUGCAUGCAGAACACAGAGUUAAUAAAAUAUACAACACCUGCUUUGGGUGAGGCUUGGUAUUCUUAGUUCUGAACCAUUCCAAAAAGGCUGCCAAGUGACCAGGUGUUCUGUAAGUGCUGCAAAAUUGGUAAAAUUAUAGCCUCUCUAUUUUAGCAAAAUAAAAUAUCCUAGGUACAUUUGGAGUGGAGCACUUAUGAAUCUCAUCUAGGUGAGUGAGUAGACCCAUUAAAAGCAGUAGACUUCAUUUGCUCAUGUGCAUUGAUUUCAAUGGGUCUUCUAUGAGUAUGAGUUAGUUUGAAACAGCCUACUGUUUAAGAUUACAUUGUUGAGGGGAUCCACUUAAGGUAUUUCUUCUCUCCAGGGUCAACUUCCCUCCAAUUAGUUCCAUGACCAAUUCUUCUAGGUUCCAGGUGUUAGACAGAUAGAUAGAUUUUUCCUUUUAGUAUUUAGCAUGUGCACUUGCCCAAACCAUGUGAAUUCAACUGAUGUCAUUCAUGAGCGCAGCAUUGUAUCAUUUGAAUACCUCCCUGAUUUCAUUUUCCAUCUAAAGAAAACCCUGAGCAUUUGAAGAGCAAUAAUAUCUAUUCAGUAUUAAAAUGCCUACAGGGGCAUUUGGUGAUGGAAUUUGUUACCACAAGAUACAGUGAUGGCCCAUAAAUUAAAAGAGAAUUCAAAUUAAUUGCUACUAAACCUGAUGGCUAUAUGUAACCUCCAGGAUGUGUGGCAACAGGAGAUGGCCACUGCCAGUGUGGUGCAGUGGUUAAAGCAUUAGACUAAAACCUGGGAGAUCAGGGUUCAAAUCUCCACUGAGUGACCUUGGGCCAGUCACAGUCUCUCAACCUAACCUACAUUAUAGAUUGUUGUGGUCAAAUGAGUAGACAAGGAACCAUGUAUGCUACCUUGAGAUCAUUAGAGGAAAAAGUUGGGAUAUAAAUGCAUUUUAAAAAAAUAAAAUAAAAUGUAUUGCUUGUGAGCUUUUCCAGAGACUACUGGCUGGUUCCUCUGAGAAACACAAUGGUGGGCCUAAUAGGCCUUUAGUGCACUCUUUUAUACUUUUAUUCUUAUCCUCUGAAAUAUAUUUUCUUUAGCAAUAUCCUUCUUGGUGGCUUCAAGAGAGCAGGAAAGGAGAGGUGUGACCUUGCUCCUGCUUCUUGAUCUCUCGUUGACUUUUGGUACCAUUGACCAUGGUAUCCUCCUGGACUGGCUCUGGGGAGUGGGAAUUGCAUUGCAGUGGUAUCAAUCCUACCUUCACGACUGAGUCCAGAGAGUAGCAUUUGGAGAGUGCCUUUUGGCCCCCUUGUAGCCAUGCUAUGGGGCUAUCUUAUCUCCAGUACUCUUUCAUAUCAGAAUGAAGCUAUUGGGAGUGGUCAAUAGGACUUUGGGGGGGGGUGAAGUGCCAUCAGUAUGCUGAUGACACUCAGUGAUAUUUCUCCUUAACGCCUGAAUCAGGAGAGGCUGUGCAGUCAUUGGGCCAUUGCCUGGAAUGAGGAAAUGGAAGAGGAAGAACAAGUUGAACCUGAAUCCUGGCAAGACAGAGGCACUGUGGAUGAGUAGCCUCCAUGUCUGAGAAAUUGGUCAAUUGCCUUCCCUAGAUGGCGUUGUGCUCCUCCUGAAAUACUCUUAGUAAAUAAAUAAGUGAUCUGACAUUUCUGAUUUGAAGCACUAAUCAAAUCAACCAUGAACAAGUAUUCCAAAGGCAGAACGCUUUUACUGGCUUACCUCUUCUUCUUUUUUAAAAAAGGAACUCUCCUUAAUCGAGUCUGUCUUCCCCUAUCUAACCUGAUUGAUUAUAUGCAUUUUUCUUAUCACUGGCUUGUGUAUGAACACUGGGCUGAAUUGUGGCUACAUUUAAUGAGGCAGAAAUGCCUCUCAUAAUAUAUCAACUUACACCUUUUGGCUGCUCUUAUUUUAUGCAAAGCUCUCUCCUCUGCCCUAGCACAGUGACUGAUCUUGCUGUGACAAAACAGUAUCAGAUGUUGGAGUCAGCAUUUCUUUUAUUUCAUUGGGGGCAGAUGUCUGCAUUUCAAAAAAACAAAAAAAUCUAGUGCCACAAAUUUUAAACCAUUACCGGUAUAUUACAGCCAUCUGAGUUCCAAAAGGUAUUAAAAAAAAAAAAAAAGUUCACCAUUGCUAGUGUCGUUGCAGGAUCUGGGACUGGGCUUCGGUCAAUAUGGUGUAUAGAUGAAAUAACCAAUAUAGUGCUUUCCAAAUAUUGUUGAAUUACAAUUCCCAUUAUCUUUGACCAUUAGCCAUGCCUAAGCCAUGGAUGAGGCAAGGUGAGGUCCCCACCUUGAAAAGCAGAAGCCCAAGAACCAGCAUCUGCCUCAUAUGUGCAGUUCAUUCCCAGUGGCCUUCAUCCAUGAAAUCAGUUGCCUGGACUGAAAGUCCCGCCUUCCCACCACCCUCUAAGUCCCCUCCUCUCCAAGGCUUUCCCCAAGCAAUUGGAGGCUGUGCCUGCAUGCAGCCUGUCACUGCUCCGCCUGUUUCAGCCCUCUUCUGGUUCUGGGAGAUGUCAGGAGGAGCUUGUCACAGCAGAAGGGGGAGAGAUCUGUGGCUGUUCACCAGUCUGACUCAUCUCUGCCUCUUUACCUCUCUUCCCUGCUUCAUCUUCUGCUCCUGAUUCUUGACUUUUCUCUGCCAUAGACUCUCCCAGCUCACUAAGCCCUGUUACCCCUUCAGCUUACAACACCUCCUCUUCUCCCUCUGACCACUCUUUAUUUUCCCACCACCAAUCCCUGGGCUCUGAGCCUUCUUCUCUUAGUGAUUCACCAACUGGUUCCUCCCACCAUUCCUCUGUGUCCAACCAGUCCCUGAUACUUGGCUGGAAUGUGUCCUUGGACUCUGAUAAUACUUCUUGUUCACCUGGGUGGACGAUAGAGAGGGAUGUGUGUGUGUGUGAAGAAACUAGCCUCCUAAACAAAUGUAAAGUUUACAUUAAGAAUGAUAGAAUUGUACAGUCUGAAAGAAACCAGAUGGUCAUCUAGUCCAAGCCCCUGCAUUGCUGUGCCUAGUUUUGCCUCUGGCUCUGUCCAUUACUGCUAUGUGGCCCUUGGAAAAGAAUGUGGUCAUUGAGCUGAAAGAAGUUUGACAUUCCUGCAACAGAGUUCCAGCUUCCCAGUGUAAUCAUGAAACCAGGCUCCCCCCUGGAAUUGGUUGACUUUUAGCAGCCUCCAACAUUAUAGAUCCUUCUCCAUCUAGGACAAGGUCACUUCAGACAUCUGUGUCAGUGAACCUUUAACGUGGAACACAACUUAGAACAUCACACUCCAGGUUGAUUCAGAAGCUUAUCAGUACAUUCAUCUUUGGCUUUAAAAGACAAUCUUCUGCCCUCUAAUAAUAAAUUUAAUUUUCUUUGUUUCUACAAGAGAUGUCAUCUCUGGGGGGAGGAAACCCCUAAAGUUAAUAGAAAAACUGUCUGUCAACUAGUACAGAAAUCUCAGCUGAGCUGCAGGAGAGCAGAUAUUUAAGGCGGCAUAUUCCCUCUCCUCCACCUCAUACAGUAAAAAGUGGAAAGAGAAAGAGAGAACUUUUAUGGCAUCAAAUUUCUAUGAGGUUCAGUUUUCAGUGGGAGAAAAAAUGCCAUUGAGGUCACAGGAAACAUUACACAAAUUCACUACCUUCAGAAAUGGAAAAAAUGGAAAUGUGGCCAUACAUCUUAAUAUAAUGAUUGACAAAGCAAGCAGUAAGAAAAACUAACUUAAGAACAUAAGAAGAGCCUGCUGGAUGAUACCAGUGGCCCAUCUAGUCCAGCAUCCUGUUCUCACAGUAAGCAAACAAAUGCCUAUGGGAAACCUACAAGCAAGACCCCAGCAGAAGAGUGCUCUCACCUCCUGUGGUUUCCAGCAACUGGUAUUCAGAAGCGUUGCUGCCUCCAACUGUGGAGGCAGAGCUUAGUCACUGAGCUAUUGAUAGUCCUCUCCUCCAUGAAGAAGAUAGGAGAGUGGGACAGGUUCAUUUUGUUAUCAAGAACUAGUGUAACUGGGACCUCAAGAAGCACCAGCUUCACAAUAACUUUCCUGGAGGCACUUGAUAUGUUGAGAUGGAACAAUGCACUGCUCUUCGCAUUAUAUUAUGCAAAUAAGUAUAAGGACAUAGAAGGUAGCACUGCAUUCCAAGCAAACCAAAACAAACCUAACAUGACUUCUAUGUAUUGUACUUUUUUCUGUAGAUGGUGGUGGCUCAAAACUAUGCAGUGCUGCCUGUGAGGGGUGUCCUCUGAGCCAGAGAAGUGAUGCAGACUUACAUCCUUUGGCCUGGAGAGACUGGUAAUGAGAGUCACCAGCUCCACAGAUUAUGCGUUCUCUUUUUCGCUGUACUCCAUGUAUUAUAUUACAAUUACAGGAAAUGUUUCUAAAUGUGCAG